UACGUAGGGUGCAAGCGUUAAUCGGAAUUACUGGGCGUAAAGCGUGCGCAGGCGGCUUCGUAAGUCCGUUGUGAAAGUCAAAGGCUCAACCUUUGAAUGCCGAUGGAUACUGCGAAGCUAGAGUACGGAAGAGGCGAGUGGAAUUCCUGGUGUAGCGGUGGAAUGCGCAGAUAUCAGGAGGAACACCAAUAGCGAAGGCAGCUCGCUGGGACGUUACUGACACUAAGGCGCGAAAGCGUGGGGAGCGAACAGG
rnacentral:rRNA from 1 species